ACUGAAGGAGCAGACUAAAGGAGGAAGGUGAUUCCAGAUCCAGGCACCAGCUCUGAGGACGAGGCCAGUGAUGACUUUGAUGUGUCUGCUGAGGGCAUGGAGAUGAACUUGGAUGCCUCAGGCUAAGAUCAGGAGGUUGUAACAGGGUCUAAUGUGAAGGGCCAGAUCCUCUGGUUUUUCUAGGAGGCAUCACCGGUUGAGCUGUCUCUCAUCUCUGGCUGCUCUGUGAAGAAGGCCCAGAGGAUUGUCGAGCUGCGCCUAUUUAACGAGUGGGAGAAUCUGGUGGCUGUUCUCGAUGGAGGGAACGGCCUCUCCACUGACCUGGUGCAGGGCUGUUGUGCGGUCCUGAGGGAACAGGACGUGGCGCACAGCCUCUUGACCAAGUGUGAGAACAUCACCAACAAGAUGAUGCAGGACGUGACUCAAGUGGUGGAGAGGGACAAGGGCUUCUAGAAACAGCCUGAGAUCCUCAACAGCAAGUGGGUUUAGCUGCUGUUUUUAUACUCAUCUCACUGACAUACACAUUCAGAUAUUUGUGUAGAAUGAUUUUCGUAGACAAACACAAUCUAAUACAUGUAAAUAAUUGAUAAUAGCGCCGACAGAGAGGACUGCCUCGCUUUUAGCUCUUGGUAAACUAUGCAGUAUUUCGUUUUUUUAUGUAUUAUUCCUUACAUUGUUAGCCCAGAACAUUUUUUGUGUUAUUACAUACAGCCGGAAAGAACUAUUCUUACUUCCAUUCCUUUACUUAGAUUUGUGUGUAUUGGGUAUAUGUUGUGAAAUUGUUAGAUAUUACUGCACUGUUGGAGCUAGAAACACAAGCAUUUCGCUACACCCGCAAUAACAUCUGCUAAACACGUGUAUGUGACCAAUAAAAUAUGAUUUGAUUUGAUGUACAUAGGCAGUUUUGAACGCACACACACAUCCUUCUGUUACUUUGACCUCUCCAGGUUCCAGUUGAAGCCUUAUCAGCUAAUUGGUCAAAAUAGGCUGACUCUGCUACACCAGAACAACCCGAGUGGAAUCCUUGCUGAUGAAAUGGGUUUGGGGGAAGACCAUCCAGGCCAUCUCUUUCCUGUUUCCUUGUUAAAGCAAGGAACAACAAAGUUCCAUCACAUUGUAAAGAUUCCACGUUACCAUGGAAACAGUCAACUGCACGAAUGCCCGGCUGUCCCGUCUUCAGUCAGCUGUUAG
rnacentral:lncRNA from 1 species